rnacentral:rRNA from 1 species
UACACGACCGUACCGCAAACCGACACUGGUGCGCGAGAUGAGUAUUCUAAGGCGCUUGAGAGAACUCAGGAGAAGGAACUCGGCAAAUUGACACCGUAACUUCGGAAGAAGGUGUGCCUUUAGUAGGUGAACCAUUUACUUGGGGAGCCCAAUGAGGCUGCAAAAAAUCGGUGGCUGCAACUGUUUAUUAAAAACACAGCACUCUGCUAAGACGAAAGUCGACGUAUAGGGUGUGACGCCUGCCCGGUGCUGGAAGAUUUAAUGAUGGGGUGCAAGCUCUUGAUUGAAGUCCCAGUAAACGGCGGCCGUAACAAUAACGGUCCUAAGGUAGCGAAAUUCCUUGUCGGGUAAGUUCCGACCUGCACGAAUGGCGUAAUGAUGGCCACACUGUCUCCUCCUGAGACUCAGCGAAGUUGAAAUGUUUGUGAUGAUGCAAUCUCCCCGCGGAAGGACGGAAAGACCCCAUGAACCUUUACUGUAGCUUUGUAUUGGACUUUGAACAGAUCUGUGUAGGAUAGGUGGGAGGCUUUGAAGUGUGGUCGCUAGAUCGCAUGGAGCCAUCGUUGAAAUACCACCCUGGUGUGUUUGAGGUUCUAACCUAGGUCCAUUAUCUGGAUCGGGGACAGUGCAUGGUAGGCAGUUUGACUGGGGCGGUCUCCUCCCAAAGUGUAACGGAGGAGUUCGAAGGUACGCUAGGUACGGUCGGACAUCGUGCUAAUAGUGCAAUGGCAUAAGCGUGCUUAACUGCGAGACUGACAAGUCGAGCAGAUGCGAAAGCAGGACAUAGUGAUCCGGUGGUUCUGUAUGGAAGGGCCAUCGCUCAACGGAUAAAAGGUACUCUGGGGAUAACAGGCUGAUACCGCCCAAGAGUUCAUAUCGACGGCGGUGUUUGGCACCUCGAUGUCGGCUCAUCUCAUCCUGGGGCUGUAGCCGGUCCCAAGGGUAUGGCUGUUCGCCAUUUAAAGAGGUACGUGAGCUGGGUUUAAAACGUCGUGAGACAGUUUGGUCCCUAUCUUCCGUGGGCGCUGCAGAUUUGAGGAAGCCUGCUCCUAGUACGAGAGGACCGGAGUGGACGAACCUCUGGUGUAUCGGUUGUCACGCCAGUGGCAUUGCCGAGUAGCUAAGUUCGGAAGAGAUAACCGCUGAAAGCAUCUAAGCGGGAAACUCGUUUCAAGAUUAGAUCUGCCGGGGCCUUGAGCCCCCUAAAGAGUCGUUCAAGACCAGGACGUUGAUAGGUCAGGUGUGGAAGC